CCUGAGGCAAGUGUGUUGGGGUAACUAAGAGUAAUCUUUUUCAAAUUGGUUUAUAAUCAAGCAAAUUUCUCACUGGAACUCAAAGAGAGGGAGACAAGCUCCUUCUUUUCUCACACCUCCAGUUGGGGUAUGUUUUUUUCUCGUUACGAAGAAAUAUUCAAUACUUUUAAAACUUGGCCAAUUGCCAGAUUCAUGAUGCCACUGUAAAGGUUUACAACGGAUUUUUGGAGAGUCAGCAGAGAGGCUACAACUGAGGAGCUUUCAUAAAUCACAAAUCACAGGAUUUACAAUUUGGGGAACUAUAAGAGGAGAUAAACAACAAACUGAGGUUUUUGAGAUAUUGGGAAUGUUGCUGACCUGUAAUACUGAUUCCUAUUGUGAAUUCCUUUUAUUAUGUACUUAUUUUUUCAUAGUAGUAGAUAUUAUACUGCCUAUAUUCCUUUCUGAUAAUUUUGGGAACAUAGAACAGCAAGAUUUUGAUAUUUGUAACAUUUAGCAUCUGAGUGCAAGUGACAACCCCAAAGCAAGAGUGGCUUAGAGAAGGCAGAUAUUUAUUUCUCUGUCAAUUAACAGGAGGCAGAAGCAGGCAGUUUAAUAAAGAGACACCACAAUCAGGUGGGACUAAGGUUUGUUCUACCAGGUCUUUUUGUCACCCUAACAUGGUUUCCAACUCAAACUCCAAGAUAGCUGCUCCAGAUGGAGACCUCACAUCUGCACUCCCUGCAGGAAGGAGGAAGGGUCUGACCUUUCCUUUAAGGGGGAACACUUCCUGUAGCUGGUACACAACACUUCUACUUAGAUCUGACUGGCCAGAAUUUAGUCCUAUGGCCAUGUGUCUCUAUAAGGAAGACUAAAAUGUAAAUUUUAUUUUGGACAACCAUAUGCCCAGCUAAAAAUUAGUGGUUCCAUUACCAAAGAAGUAGGAGAGGAUGAAUAUUGGGAAACAAUUAGCCGUCUCUGCAAUAACCUUUUAAUAGUUUGCUCUAGAUGCUAUAGAGGCUAGAUUUUUCCAUUUUGUUUUGUUUCUUAUUGAUUUUCUUAAAGAAAAAUACUAGAUAUUUACGUAUAAACAAUACUAUUUUUUUCUGUCAUAUUUGCGACUAAUAAAUUUCAAUGCUACUUUUUAAA
ensembl:lncRNA novel transcript